CAGAAAGCUCAGUCUGCGAUUGAUUGCUGUAGUUCUCUCCCAGAGCACAGUUGAGUUGAUUGCUUUUUUGAGAAAGCCUCUAAGGGAUUUGCUGUCUGUGUGCCUAUUGGGCUGUCUGUGCCCCUGGCUGGAGCAGAAACUGAGGAAGGAAGAUCCUACGGCUCAUCAAGUAAAACGGUCUUUUGGGGAAGAAGCAUUCUUAGAAAUGCUGCACCAAGAGUUGGAAUUGAGAAUUCAGAAAACAUGAUAGAGAAGGAACAGGAAGAAACCAUUUGGACAUCCAAAAAUAAAAGGCCAGAGACAGAAUCUCACUUUGUUGCCCAGGCUGGUGGUCUCUAACUCCUGGACUUAAGCAAUCCUCCCGCCUCAGCCUCCCAAAGUGCUGGGAUCACAGGUCUGAUUAUAAAAGGAGAAUUGGAGGCUUACCA
rnacentral:lncRNA from 1 species